rnacentral:lncRNA from 1 species
GCAGAAGAAGCUCCAAUUUGAAAGAGCCGCUAACAAUCAAUUGAGGUCCCGGGGAUAAUCAUCAGAAUUCGUCGUAAUUUCUUAUGCUAGCAAUGAGUGGUGCUCCGGAUGCCAUGCCGUGCCGUUUUUUUUCCUUCCGUGGUUGCUAUGUUAACAAACGAUGAUUAAAGAGAGAUAGUUUUUUUCUUGUCCGUUCCUUGCAUUGGUGGAGGACAAACAAAUUUUGAGGUAGGGCGAAUUCCUAUCAUAACACCAUGAGUUAAUAUAUAUAUAUCACAUUUAAUAUUUUUUAAGUUUGCAAAAAAUAUUUCAAUUAAUUUGGUUUUUCAGACUUUUUAGGAUUUUUUUUAUUGUUACAUCUUAUGAUAUAUCGCCUAGUGAUAUUUAUGUUAAUUAUUAAUUUUCAUCAUAUUAUAUGUGAAAUCAACCAUAAUCGAA